GAUGAACGCUGGCGGCGUGCCUAACACAUGCAAGUCGAACGAUGAUGGAGGAGCUUGCUCUUCCUGAUUAGUGGCGCACGGGUGAGUAUACCAUAGAUAAUGUACCCCUUAGUUUGGGAUAGCCACUGGAAACGGUGAUUAAUAACAGAUACUCCUUCUUGUCCUAAGGCAAGUCAGGAAAGUUUUUUCGCUAAGGGAUCAGUGUAUGUCCUAUCAGCUAGUUGGGGAGGUAAUGGCUCAACAAGGCUAUGACGGGUAUCUGGUUUGAGAGGAUGAUCAGACACACUGGAACUGAGACACGGUCCAGACUCCUACGGGAAGCAGCAGUGAGGAAUAUUGCACGAUGGAGGAAACUCUGAUGCAGCAACGCCGCGUGGAGGAUGACGCAUUUCGGUGUGUAAACUCCUUUUAAGAGGGAAGAUAAUGACGGUACCUCUUGAAUAAGCACCGGCUAACUCCGUGCCAGCCGCCGCGGUAA
rnacentral:rRNA from 1 species